CCUACGGGAGGCAGCAGUGGGGAAUAUUGCACAAUGGGGGAAACCCUGAUGCAGCGACGCCGCGUGAGUGAAGAAGUAUUUCGGUACGUAAAGCUCUAUCAGCAGGGAAGAAAAUGACGGUACCUGACUAAGAAGCCCCGGCUAACUACGUGCCAGCAGCCGCGGUAAUACGUAGGGGGCAAGCGUUAUCCGGAUUUACUGGGUGUAAAGGGAGCGUAGACGGCAGCGCAAGUCUGGAGUGAAAUCCCAUGGCUUAACCAUGGAACUGCUUUGGAAACUGUGCAGCUAGAGUGCAGGAGAGGUAAGCGGAAUUCCUAGUGUAGCGGUGAAAUGCGUAGAUAUUAGGAGGAACACCAGUGGCGAAGGCGGCUUACUGGACUGUAACUGACGUUGAGGCUCGAAAGCGUGGGGAGCAAACAGGAUUAGAUAUCCGAGUAGUC
rnacentral:rRNA from 1 species